rnacentral:rRNA from 1 species
GGUCAAGUUAUUAAGGGUGCAGGGCGGAUGCCUUGGCACUAGGAGCCGAUGAAGGACGUGAUAAGCUGCGAUAAGCUUCGGGGAGUUGCACGUAAACUUUGAUCCGAAGAUUUCCGAAUGAGGAAACUCACUUAGAGUAAUGUCUAAGUAUCAUUGAGUGAAUACAUAGCUUAAUGAGGGGAACUCAGGGAACUGAAACAUCUAAGUACCUGAAGGAAGAGAAAGAAAUUCGAUUCCGUAAGUAGCGGCGAGCGAACGCGGAUUAGCCCAAACCAAUAAAGUUUUCUUUAUUGGGGUUGCGGACAUAUCAUAACGAAGAGGUAUCGUAAUUGAAGAGGUUUGGAAAGACCCACCACAGAAGGUAAUAGUCCUGUAUGUUAAACGAGAAGACUUCAGAUAUGAUCCAGAGUACCACGGGACACGU